CUUACCCGACUCCGGUAAUAAUUUUUGUGUAUAGGACCGCAGAUGGAACAACAAAACCGACAACGCUCAUCUAUAAACCUGACAGCUGAACGCAUGGGCAGACGCUCAGCAACCCAAGUUGUCUACUCGGCAAGAUAACAAGCAGCCAGCUCCUGCCCACUGACCAAAGUUUCUAAAUGUGACUUAAAGUAUAAACAACGAGAAAACCACGACAAAAGCCGAAACCCGGGGAAGUACGAAGAAAGCUUCGCUUUAAGAAUGUUGGAGACUACCCGAAGGACCAAGCACUGACAGCAACGGCCAGGCUUAACCUGGCACUUGAACUGUCUCUAUGCUCUAUCUAUACGCCAGUAUGCCACAAUUUCUAGCUCCCUUAAAAGCCUUACCAUGCUGUUCAAGUCUUGUAACGACAUCUCACGUGCACCAUUGCACUGCAUGCAAAAAAGCGGCGCUAGUGAACUCAGAUCGCACUCAGAUUGUUAGCACUAAUACUGUCACGGAGUUUUUAAUAUUUCAUUCUCUCCCCCCCUCUCUCUCUCUUAAUAUUUCGAAAGAAAUAAAGAUAAAUAUAUAAAAGGUA